CCUACGGGAGGCAGCAGUGAGGAAUAUUGGUCAAUGGCCGGAAGGCUGAACCAGCCAUGCCGCGUGAAGGUCAGUGCCCUAUGGGCGUUAAACUUCUUUUGUGCGGGAGCAAUAAUGGUCACGUGUGGCCAGACGAGAGUACCGUACGAAUAAGCACCGGCUAACUCCGUGCCAGCAGCCGCGGUAAUACGGGGGAUGCAAGCGUUAUCCGGAUUUAUUGGGUUUAAAGGGUGCGUAGGCUGUGAGGUAAGUCAGCGGUGAAAUGCCCCCGCUCAACGGGGUGAAGUGCCAUUGAUACUGGCUGGGUGGGAGGCGGAGGCGGUGGGAGGGAGGUGGGGGGGAGCGGUGAAAUGCAGAG
rnacentral:rRNA from 1 species